AACGAACGCUGGCGGCAUGCCUAACACAUGCAAGUCGAACGAUGCCUUCGGGCAUAGUGGCGCACGGGUGAGUCACGCGUGGGAAUCUGCCUUUCGGUUCGGAAUUACUCAGGGAAACUUGAGCUCAUAUCGGCUAACGUCGCAAGACCAAAGCUUUAUCACCGAAAGAUGAGCCCGCGUAGGAUUAGCUAGUUGGUGAGGUAAAGGCUCACCAAGGCGACGAUCCUUAGCUGGUCUGAGAGGAUGAUCAGCCACACUGGGACUGAGACACGGCACAGACUCCGGCGGGAAGCAGCAGUGGGGAAUAUUGGACAAUGGGCGAGAGCCUGAUCCAGCGAUGCCGCGUAAGGGAUGAAGGCCUUAGGGUUGUAAAGCUCUUUUACCCGGGAAGAUAAUGACGGUACCGGGAGAAUAGGCCCCGGCUAACUCCGUG
rnacentral:rRNA from 1 species